rnacentral:lncRNA from 1 species
GGAGAACCCUAGACUGCAUGCAGCCAUGCACAUGAUCUGGAGACACAGCAGAGACAAGGUCUUUGUCUGUUGCUCAGGAUGGAGUGUAGUGGUGCCAUAGCACACUGUAAUCUUGAAUUUCUGGACUACUGGCAUACACCACCAUGCUUAGGUUCGGGCCACAACAUCCGUGACUUUACCGGUUUUGGUCUCUUCCUUGUAACCUUCGGCUCCAGGAUGCUGCGCAGUUCCUCUCUGCACUAUCUAUCAGAAUGUUGCUCUGCGUGCUUGAAAGUUUCACCAAACAGAAGUACACAAGAACAAACAGAGGUGAAACACAAAUCCCCUCAGCCCUGGAGGAAAAGGCCUUGAAGCUCUUCCAGUGCAGAGGCCACGCAGAGGACAUGCUCCUACCUGUGCACAUCAGCCACGCCUGGGGUGCCUCCUGGAGUCCAGACUGCUGGCGAUGGAAUCCAUCAUGUUGCUGAUGUCACUACUCUCAACUCCUGAUGGCAUCAGAACACAGGCAGCAUCAAGAUCAGGCUCAAGAUGCAGGAUUUUAUCAUCCAAAUCAGGCCCACAUAUGGAUGAAACCCUUCAGGUUUUUCUAUUCUCAUUAACAGUGUCCUCAAGAUCUU